GGAAAACACAGCCCUGAUGUCAGCGGCGGCCCCGAGGGAGUGGUGCUUUCUCUGAAGGCCUUACCGGACACCACGGCCUUCUAGUCCAGUACUGGCACAGACUACAUGGUCCUUCAACACUGGUGCUGAUUUGGGUUGUGGACAUCUCGGAUUGACCUAGUCCGAACUCCUUUCAUUGAACACUGGCCCUCAGUGUGGUCCCCUGCCUCUGCGCUAGGAAUCGGAUGCUCAGGGAGGCCCUGUUGGGCGGAAACGGCACUGCACCAGGU